GAGCAUGAACAUCGACGCAGAUAGUUUACAUGGAGGCAAGGUGACGACACGGAUCGAUAGGAACGCUCGGUUUCCUUGUUUUAUUUCCAGCUGAGGUUACAGAGGUUAUCAUUUCCAUUUCCAAGAUGAUGAGUGAAAGACUUCAACGUCCGAUGAGCGCGGCAUCUGACGCCCUUUCCUACAUGACCGAAGGUGGUCUUAGUGAUCAUGGGAGUCAACGAAAGACCGGGCCGUACUUGGAGGGAAAUAUGAAAUUGCUGGACACAAUCGAGUGCCCGAUUGACAUCAUGUGCUGUCGGUUCAGUGCAGACGGUGCUCACCUUGCUGUUGGACUUUGCGACGGAUCAAUAAAAAUCUACAGUCCAGGGACCGGGCAGAUGCUGUACAGCCUCACUGAUGAAGAUACCCAGUGUCACCGUCUCCCCGUCACACAGCUCCGCUUCCGCCCAUAUACCAGCCUUGACAAACCAGAGUACACCCACAUCCUCAUUGCUUCAUAUGCUUCCGGUCACGUCAAGUUCUGGCACUACACCUCCGGUAAGUGUCUUCACACCAUCAACGAGAUCCGCCAGGUCUUGGCUCUGGCCCUCAACCCCGACGGAACGCACUUCCUCACUGCUGGAGCCGACCCGGAAAUACACCUGUAUGAUAUCGAGACAAAGAAGCGGAAGAAAACGUUUGAACCCAGUGAUGCUCGAGACAUUAUGGAUGGUCAUCGGUUCCGUGUAUUUGCUGCCCAGUUCAACCCCAACCAUCCGGACCUGUUUAUCACCGGUGGAUGGGACGAUACCGUGCAGUACUGGGAUGUGAGAGUUCAACAUGGACAUGCCGUCAAGAAGUUCUGUGGGCCUCACAUCUGUGGCGACGCCCUUGACAUCGACCCACUACACAACCACAUCCUCACCGGCAGCUGGAGGAAGCACUCAGUCCUACAGAUCUGGGAUUUCUCCCUGGCAGCUAAGAUCAAGGAUGUUCCGCAGGACACCCUCAACUCUAGUCAGCUGUACUGUGCCCAGUGGCUAGGCAAGGACAGCAUCAUCUGUGGAGGCACAGACCAAAACAUGGCCAGGAUCAUAGACAGAGGAACACUCAAUACCACCGGUCAGCUUGUGGACCUACCUCAGGGGGUUUACUGCAUCGACAAUGACCGCCAGAGCAGCUACCCACGCAUCGCCAUCGGCAGCAGUCGCUACAUCUUCCUCGUCCGCAGCGACAAGAAAAGUCACUACAGAGGGGACUGAUUACUCCACAACAUGACAAACUUGAAGAGCCUCUCAGUCUGUGAUCAGAAUUAUUUUCAUGGAACUAGUUGAACCAGAACAGAUGACUUUUAUUUAGGCUAGAUAUCACCCCUGCCCUAGUGAUAGUCUGACACUAAUGGAUGUCUGCUGUGUGCGAUGUGGUCACUGUGAAGCUCCCGGUGUUCUCCUGACCCAGUAUAAGUCAAGCUGUGGCUGACAUGAAGCCAAGACUCAUUGACUGAAGUUGAAGGUACAAAGAUACUGUGAUUAAAUCAACAAAACAGUCAGUCCCAUUUUACGACAUGAGACAUGAGACUUUAUUUUCGGUACUUGGAGUGUAGAUGCAAAUGCAAAUCGACUUGACACUUGUUUUCAGAUUUAACAAACAAAUAGAAGUUAAGUACACCAGAAACUUAGACAGAAGCAUCUCACUGGCUGGCUACACUGGCUGGCUGCAAUGUUUGCCCCAAAACACCUUUUAGAAUAAUCUUGUCACUGUGUGAGUCAUGAUGGUUCUAACUGGUCCAACAGACAUUUCUAAAUAAGUUCUGAUUCAUUGUGUAUUUUGUUUGAACUUAAUAUCACCCAGACAAAAUGUGAUUUAGAUUAGUAGUUGUGUUAUAGUUUGUUCCAAUUCACCAUGUUCACUGUGUAGUUAUGUAGUUAUGAAUAUACUGUAACUACAAUAAAAUGGCAUUGGACCCUCUCACUCACUCACUCAUGAACCAAGUGAACCAAAGUACAGUAAGUACUGUAGCUAGAUACGUGUAUUGUCCCUUACAUUACUUAUUAUUAUGUAAAAACCAGUAAAUGAGUGUUUUUGUUAUAUCUGUUUAUUUGUUGCUGUCUUUGUUGAUAGUAAUUCCUCGCUUAGGACUCUGUGUGAUAAUUAUUAAUGGAAUAAUUUGAGAGUAAAAACAGUCCACAUAUUCUUGCCACGAGGUGUUUCGUUCUGUAAGAUGGAAUUGGGCAAGAGGACCAGUUGCCUUGAACAUUCCACUAGCCCUCGAACAGCUAACUAGCCAUGAACUAGAGGGCAAGCCUUUAUUUCUGUUUUUUCAGUACACUGACUAUUCACAUUUGUUAUGAAACUAGUUUACUAGUGUUAUUUGACGUCUAACAUGUGACCAAGCUGCAUAGCCAUGACAGAUUAUCUAUAGUAGUAAGAAAGAUGUGGGUGGUCCUUUACUUCUAUUGAGCAUUAAGACAUUGAAUAAGUCAAUUUGUGAUAUUUUAAUAUGUUUAAUAUCUUAGUACUCAUUUUUCAAUCCCUCAAAUCAAAAUUGUCCUUGUAUUUGAUGUUUAUUUCCUGGUAUUAACAUAUUUACCACUUUUUCUACAAAUCAAAGAUUAGAAUAAUCAUAAGGCAGAAUAUUGCUGCAAGAGAUUGCAAAUCUACAUGCGGUAUUGAUACACACAGCAUACCUCUAGAGGCAACAACAAGAGCUGCUGAGGAGUUUCACCUUUCAUCACUGUUGUGAUACUACUUGUACUACUUUGGUGACCAGUGAAGAUCCGGGGUACGAUAGGUCUUCAGCAUCCCUGCUUGCCGUAAGAGGCGACU
rnacentral:misc_RNA from 1 species